rnacentral:tRNA from 2 species
UAAUAAAAAACAAAUAGUUGUUCUUAAUUUCGACUUAAGCCUAAAUGAAAUAAUUCAUUUUUAUUUU